rnacentral:rRNA from 1 species
GUGAACGCUGGCGGUAGGCCUAACACAUGCAAGUCGAACGGCAGCACAGUAAGAGCUUGCUCUUACGGGUGGCGAGUGGCGGACGAGUGAGGAAUACAUCGGAAUCUACUUUUUCGUGGGGGAUAACGUAGGGAAACUUACGCUAAUACCGCAUACGACCUACGGGUGAAAGCAGGGGAUCUUCGGACCUUGCGCGAUUGAAUGAGCCGAUGUCGGAUUAGCUAGUUGGCGGGGUAAAGGCCCACCAAGGCGACGAUCCGUAGCUGGUCUGAGAGGAUGAUCAGCCACACUGGAACUGAGACACGGUCCAGACUCCUACGGGAGGCAGCAGUGGGGAAUAUUGGACAAUGGGCGCAAGCCUGAUCCAGCCAUACCGCGUGGGUGAAGAAGGCCUUCGGGUUGUAAAGCCCUUUUGUUGGGAAAGAAAAGCAGCAGGUUAAUACCCCGCUGUUCUGACGGUACCCAAAGAAUAAGCACCGGCUAACUUCGCG